UACGUAGGGUGCAGGCGUUAAUCGGAAUUACUGGGCGUAAAGCGUGCGCAGGCGGUUUCUUAAGUCAGAUGCGAAAGCCCCGGGCUUAACCUGGGAACUGCGUUUGAAACUGGGAGACUUGAGUGUGGCAGAGGGGGGUGGAAUUCCACGUGUAGCAGUGAAAUGCGUAGAUAUGUGGAGGAACACCGAUGGCGAAGGCAGCCCCCUGGGUUAACACUGACGCUCGUGCACGAAAGCGUGGGGAGCAAACAGG
rnacentral:rRNA from 1 species